UCCUACGGGUGGCUGCAGUGGGGAAUAUUGCGCAAUGGGCGAAAGCCUGACGCAGCAACGCCGCGUGAGGGAAGAAGGUCUUCGGAUCGUAAACCUCUGUCGGGAGGGAAGAACGGCAUGGGGUCGAACAGGCUCUGUGAUUGACGGUACCUCCAAAGGAAGCACCGGCUAACUCCGUGCCAGCAGCCGCGGUAAUACGGAGGGUGCAAGCGGUAUUCGGAAUUACUGGGCGUAAAGGGCGUGUAGGCGGCCUUGUAAGUCAGAUGUGAAAGCCCACGGCUUAACCGUGGAACUGCAUUUGAAACUGCUUGGCUCGAGUACGGGAGAGGGUGGCGGAAUUCCCGGUGUAGGAGUGAAAUCCGUAGAUAUCGGGAGGAACACCAGUGGCGAAGGCGGCCACCUGGACCGUAACUGACGCUGAGACGCGAAAGCGUGGGGAGCAAACAGGAUUAGAUACCCGAGUAGUCC
rnacentral:rRNA from 1 species